rnacentral:rRNA from 1 species
AUACGGAGGGUCCAAGCGUUAUCCGGAUUCAUAGGGUUUAAAGGGUCCGCAGGCGGGAAAAUAAGUCAGUGGUGAAAGCCUACAGCUCAACUGUAGAACUGCCAUUGAAACUGUUUUUCUUGAGUAUAGAUGAAGUGGGCGGAAUAUAUCAUGUAGCGGUGAAAUGCAUAGAUAUGAUAUAGAACACCGAUUGCGAAGGCAGCUCACUAAACUAUUACUGACGCUCAGGGACGAAAGCGUGGGGAGCGAACAGGAUUAGAAACCCCGGUAGUCC